rnacentral:rRNA from 1 species
UGGGGGAUAUUGCACAAUGGGCGAAAGCCUGAUGCAGCGACGCCGCGUGAGGGAAGACGGUUUUCGGAUUGUAAACCUCUGUCUUCGGGGACGAAAAUGACGGUACCCGAGGAGGAAGCCACGGCUAACUACGUGCCAGCAGCCGCGGUAAUACGUAGGUGGCAAGCGUUGUCCGGAUUUACUGGGUGUAAAGGGCGUGUAGGCGGAGAAGCAAGUCAGAAGUGAAAUCCAUGGGCUUAACCCAUGAACUGCUUUUGAAACUGUUUCCCUUGAGUAUCGGAGAGGCAGGCGGAAUUCCUAGUGUAGCGGUGAAAUGCGUAGAUAUUAGGAGGAACACCAGUGGCGAAGGCGGCCUGCUGGACGACAACUGACGCUGAGGCGCGAAAGCGUGGGGAG